UACGGAGGGUGCAAGCGUUAUCCGGAUUCACUGGGUUUAAAGGGUGCGUAGGCGGGCAGGUAAGUCCGUGGUGAAAUCUCUGAGCUUAACUCAGAAACUGCCAUGGAUACUAUUUGUCUUGAAUAUUGUGGAGGUAAGCGGAAUAUGUCAUGUAGCGGUGAAAUGCUUAGAUAUGACAUAGAACACCAAUUGCAAGGCAGCUUCUACACAGUUAUUGACGCUGAGGCACGAAAGCGUGGGGAUCAAACAGG
rnacentral:rRNA from 1 species